UACAUGAUUCAAAUUAAUCAAAGUAAUUAUUCAACUAUUUGCAGUAAGUGUUUUAAAACAAUGAACUUUUUUGCCAGAUUCGGUCUUUAUUCUGUGAUAUGCUUUGUUGUCAAAAGUUGGCGUUUAUCUCGCCAGAUUCCAGAAUGCAAAUGAAUGAUUUUUCUAUGCAGCUUAAUGAUUGAUUAGAUGACGGCUAUCGGAACCAUUCUUGUGACAUUGCCCCAAAGAAAGCAGCAGCUCCAGUUUUAUGACCUCGUGAUGAUUCUGUUU